rnacentral:miRNA from 1 species
UGACCCCAACCUCGCUACCACC